GGGGGCCUAUAUAUGAUAUUAAUAUCCUUGAAUACAUCUGAAUAAUUGUAUUGUAUUGUUGAAAUGCCUAAUAUGGUACCACUGGUGUAUUGUGAUAUAUUCAUACUUGUUAGCAUAUGAAACAUGUGGAAACUUAUGCAUGGUUGGAAACAAUGAGUGGAUAUUAGCCCACGUGGUUGUGAAAAUAUAUCAUUGUGGUUGGUUGUGGAAAUACAUCAUGUGAUAGGUU
rnacentral:lncRNA from 1 species